GCCUUCGUGGUGUAGUGGCCAGCACGCUGGACUGGUAUUCCAGAGAUCCAUGUUUCGAGUCCCGGCGAAGGCG
rfam:Stegodyphus mimosarum contig39329, whole genome shotgun sequence.